GAUGAAGAACGUAGCGAAAUGCGAUAAGUAGUGUGAAUUGCAGAAUUCAGUGAAUCAUCGAAUCUUUGAACGCACAUUGCGCCCCUUGGUAUUCCAUGGGGCAUGCCUGUUCGAGCGUCAUUUGUACCUUCAAGCUUUGCUUGGUGUUGGGUGUUUGUCCAUUCUCUUGCAGAGGGACUCGCCUUAAAGUAAUUGGCAGCCAGUGUUUUGGUUUUGAAGCGCAGCACAAGUCGCGAUUCAACGCUAUACGCCAGCUUCCACAAGCCUUUUUCACUUUUGACCUCGGAUCAGGUAGGGAUACCCGCUGAACUUAAGCAUAUCUAGCGGAGGA
rnacentral:misc_RNA from 1 species